rnacentral:rRNA from 1 species
UGCAAGUCGAGCGGACAGAAGGGAGCUUGCUCCCGGAUGUUAGCGGCGGACGGGUGAGUAACACGUGGGUAACCUGCCUGUAAGACUGGGAUAACUCCGGGAAACCGGAGCUAAUACCGGAUAGUUCCUUGAACCGCAUGGUUCAAGGAUGAAAGACGGUUUCGGCUGUCACUUACAGAUGGACCCGCGGCGCAUUAGCUAGUUGGUGGGGUAAUGGCUCACCAAGGCGACGAUGCGUAGCCGACCUGAGAGGGUGAUCGGCCACACUGGGACUGAGACACGGCCCAGACUCCUACGGGAGGCAGCAGUAGGGAAUCUUCCGCAAUGGACGAAAGUCUGACGGAGCAACGCCGCGUGAGUGAUGAAGGUUUUCGGAUCGUAAAGCUCUGUUGUUAGGGAAGAACAAGUGCGAGAGUAACUGCUCGCACCUUGACGGUACCUAACCAGAAAGCCACGGCUAACUACGUGCCAGCAGCCGCGGUAAUACGUAGGUGGCAAGCGUUGUCCGGAAUUAUUGGGCGUAAAGGGCUCGCAGGCGGUUUCUUAAGUCUGAUGUGAAAGCCCCCGGCUCAACCGGGGAGGGUCAUUGGAAACUGGGAAACUUGAGUGCAGAAGAGGAGAGUGGAAUUCCACGUGUAGCGGUGAAAUGCGUAGAGAUGUGGAGGAACACCAGUGGCGAAGGCGACUCUCUGGUCUGUAACUGACGCUGAGGAGCGAAAGCGUGGGGAGCGAACAGGAUUAGAUACCCUGGUAGUCCACGCCGUAAACGAUGAGUGCUAAGUGUUAGGGGGUUUCCGCCCCUUAGUGCUGCAGCUAACGCAUUAAGCACUCCGCCUGGGGAGUACGGUCGCAAGACUGAAACUCAAAGGAAUUGACGGGGGCCCGCACAAGCGGUGGAGCAUGUGGUUUAAUUCGAAGCAACGCGAAGAACCUUACCAGGUCUUGACAUCCUCUGACAACCCUAGAGAUAGGGCUUUCCCUUCGGGGACAGAGUGACAGGUGGUGCAUGGUUGUCGUCAGCUCGUGUCGUGAGAUGUUGGGUUAAGUCCCGCAACGAGCGCAACCCUUGAUCUUAGUUGCCAGCAUUUAGUUGGGCACUCUAAGGUGACUGCCGGUGACAAACCGGAGGAAGGUGGGGAUGACGUCAAAUCAUCAUGCCCCUUAUGACCUGGGCUACACACGUGCUACAAUGGACAGAACAAAGGGCUGCAAGACCGCAAGGUUUAGCCAAUCCCAUAAAUCUGUUCUCAGUUCGGAUCGCAGUCUGCAACUCGACUGCGUGAAGCUGGAAUCGCUAGUAAUCGCGGAUCAGC